rnacentral:rRNA from 1 species
UGCAGUCGAGCGCCCCGCAAGGGGAGCGGCAGACGGGUGAGUAGCGCGUGGGAAUCUACCGUGCCCUACGGAAUAGCUCCGGGAAACUGGAAUUAAUACCGUAUACGCCCUACGGGGGAAAGGUUUAUCGGGGUAUGAUGAGCCCGCGUUGGAUUAGCUAGUUGGUGGGGUAAAGGCCUACCAAGGCGACGAUCCAUAGCUGGUCUGAGAGGAUGAUCAGCCACAUUGGGACCGAGACACGGCCCAAACUCCUACGGGAGGCAGCAGUGGGGAAUAUUGGACAAUGGGCGCAAGCCUGAUCCAGCCAUGCCGCGUGAGUGAUGAAGGUCUUAGGAUUGUAAAGCUCUUUCACCGGAGAAGAUAAUGACGGUAUCCGGAGAAGGAGCCCCGGCUAACUUCGUGCCAGCAGCCGCGGUAAUACGAAGGGGGCUAGCGUUGUUCGGAAUUACUGGGCGUAAAGCGCACGUAGGCGGAUAUUUAAGUCAGGGGUGAAAUCCCAGAGCUCAACUCUGGAACUGCCUUUGAUACUGGGUAUCUUGAGUAUGGAAGAGGUGAGUGGAAUUCCGAGUGUAGAGGUGAAAUUCGUAGAUAUUCGGAGGAACACCAGUGGCGAAGGC